GACGAACGCUGGCGGCGUGCUUAACACAUGCAAGUCGAACGGAAAGGCCCUGCUUUUGUGGGGUGCUCGAGUGGCGAACGGGUGAGUAACACGUGAGUAACCUGCCCUUGACUUUGGGAUAACUUCAGGAAACUGGGGCUAAUACCGGAUAGGAGCUCCUGCUGCAUGGUGGGGGUUGGAAAGUUUCGGCGGUUGGGGAUGGACUCGCGGCUUAUCAGCUUGUUGGUGGGGUAGUGGCUUACCAAGGCUUUGACGGGUAGCCGGCCUGAGAGGGUGACCGGCCACAUGGGGACUGGGGUACGGCCCAGACUCCUACGGGAGGCAGCAGUGGGAAUAUUGCACAAUGGGCGGAAGCCUGAUGCAGCAACGCCGCGUGCGGGAUGACGGCCUUCGGGUUGUAAACCGCUUUCGCCUGUGACGAAGCGUGAGUGACGGUAAUGGGUAAAGAAGCACCGGCUAACUACGUG
rnacentral:rRNA from 1 species